CUUCGACCAAAACAGCGUUAAAAUCUUAGAUGUCGAAGGUUCUUAUAGAAACAGAAACUUUUUAGAAAUGUAUUACAUCGCAAAGGACUCAAAUUCCGUAAAUUUCCGAACUGAUAUUGACAAUCUAUCAAUAAUGUAUUUUGAUAUUAUUGGAACAUGUGAUAGAAUUUCGAACACUAAAGGACAAUAAUUCCGGUGCAUACCUAUACAUCUAUGAAAUAACCUUCAUAUUAUUUGAAGGAAUUUCUGUCACUGUGAAUCAAUCUUUAUAUAUUUUUUCUUCUACAGUUUGUGUUGUGUCAUAGACUUUACUAUUGUAUAUUUUAUGUUUUUUGAAAUUGUAUCACUGUCCUUUGUAAUGAUGAGCACAUGUGUUAUUUAUUUUGUUUAUUAUUUUUAUGUUUAUUUAUCAAUUUGGAAUGUUCUGUUGGAUUUUUAUUUAUUAUAAAAUGAAGGAAGUCUCGAUGGAUCUUGUUCAAACAAGAAUCCAGUAAAUCCGAACAAAUUUUAUUCCAUUUUUUGAUAGGUCUCGACUUUGAGGUUAUGUUGGCCUUUAAAAACUUUUCGAAUUUAAAUUUUUUAAAAGUUUUAUAAAUUUGUAUCAUUGAACAAUGUGUCCUGAUGAGCUGUGUUCACAGUGAAAAUGCAUUCGAUGAAAUAAAGUAAUAAUUGCUGAUUUUUAACAACUUUCUCAAAUCUUUUGGACCCAAGGCCACAAUAUAAACAAUUUUAUUUGA